UGGGGAAUUUUGGACAAUGGGCGAAAGCCUGAUCCAGCAAUGCCGCGUGUGUGAAGAAGGCCUUCGGGUUGUAAAGCACUUUUGUCCGGAAAGAAAUCCUUGGCUCUAAUACAGUCGGGGGAUGACGGUACCGGAAGAAUAAGCACCGGCUAACUACGUGCCAGCAGCCGCGGUAAUACGUAGGGUGCAAGCGUUAAUCGGAAUUACUGGGUAGAGCGNCGCGGUUGUUAAGACCGAUGUGAAAUCCCCGGGCUCAACCUGGGAACUGCAUUGGUGACUGGCAGGCUAGAGUAUGGCAGAGGGGGGUAGAAUUCCACGUGUAGCAGUGAAAUGCGUAGAGAUGUGGAGGAAUACCGAUGGCGAAGGCAGCCCCCUGGGCCAAUACUGACGCUCAUGCACGAAAGCGUGGGGGAGCAAACAGGAUUAGAUACCCUGGUAGUCCACGCCCUAAACGAUGUCAACUAGUUGUUGGGGAUUCAUUUCCUUAGUAACGUAGCUAACGCGUGAAGUUGACCGCCUGGGGAGUACGGUCGCAAGAUUAAAACUUAAAUGAAUUGACGGGGUCAUAGCUGUUUCCU
rnacentral:rRNA from 1 species